rnacentral:rRNA from 1 species
UACGUAGGUGGCAAGCGUUGUCCGGAUUUAUUGGGCGUAAAGGGCGCGCAGGCGGUUCGUUUAGUCUCGGGUGAAAUCUCCCGGCUCAACUGGGAGGGGUCUCGAGAUACUGGCGGACUUGAGGAGAGCAGAGGUGAGUGGAAUGCUGGGUGUAGUGGUGAAAUGCGUAGAUAUCCAGCGGAACACCAGUGGCGAAGGCGGCUCACUGGGCUCCACCUGACGCUGAGGCGCGAAAGCGUGGGGAGCGAACCGG